GAUGCCUAAGUGCUUUGUGAAAUCCCACGGCUCAACCCGUGAAAUUGCUUGGCAUACUGGGUGUCUUGAGCCACUUAGGGGCGAACGGAACAGACGGUGGAGCGGUGAAAUGCGUAGAUAUCGUCUGGAACGCCCAAGGGUGAAAACAGUUCGCUGGGAGUGUGCUGACGCUGAGACACGAAAGCCAGGGGAGCAAACGGGAUUAGAUACCCCGGUAGUCCUGGCCCUAAACGAUGUCCACUAGAUCGUGGAACCUCUGACAGGUUUCACGGUCGAAGCAAAAGUGCUAAGUGGACCGCCUGGGAAGUACGGUCGCAAGGCUAAAACUCAAAGGAAUUGACGGGGGCUCACACAAGCGGUGGAGCAUGUGGUUCAAUUCGAAGCAACGCGCAGAACCUUACCUGGGCUUGACAUGCCUGGAUUAUCUCUAUGAAAGUAGAGUACGCCCUUCGGGGUGGAACAGGCACAGGUGCUGCAUGGCUGUCGUCAGCUCGUGUCGUGAGAUGUCGGGUUAAGUCCCUUAGCGAGCGAAACCUUUGCCCUUAGUUACCAGCGGGUUAUGCCGGGGACUCUAAGGGGACUGCCGGUGUCAAACCGGAGGAAGGUGGAGAUGACGUCAAGUCCUCAUGGCCUUUAUGUCCAGGGCUACACACGUGCUACAAUGGCCGGUACAACGCGACGCCAACCCGCGAGGGGGAGCAAAUCGCUGAAAACCGGUCUCAGUUCGGAUUGCAGGCUGCAACUCGCCUGCAUGAAGCUGGAAUCGCUAGUAAUGGCGCAUCAGCAUGGCGCCGUGAAUACGUUCCCGGGCCUUGUACACACCGCCCGUCACAUCGCGAAAGUGGGUUGUACUAGAAGUCCGCAGGGUAACCCGCAAGGGAGGCAGCGGCCCAAGGUAUGACUCAUGAUUGGGGUGAAGUCGUAACAAGGUA
rnacentral:rRNA from 1 species